rnacentral:rRNA from 1 species
AGAGUUUGAUCCUGGCUCAGGAUGAACGCUGGCGGCAUGCCUAAUACAUGCAAGUCGAACGAGAGACCUUCGGGUCUCUAGUGGCGAACGGGUGAGUAACACGUAGGGAACCUGCCCGCGCACCGGGAAUACGCUCUGGAAACGGAGAACAAAUCCCGAUGUACAGGAAGGAGGCAUCUUCUUUCUGUGAAACAUCCUUUCGGGGAUGGGGCGCGGAUGGACCUGCGGUGCAUUAGUUGGUUGGCGGGGUAAAGGCCCACCAAGACGAUGAUGCAUAGCCGGCCUGAGAGGGCGGACGGCCACAUUGGGACUGAGACACGGCCCAGACUCCUGCGGGAGGCAGCAGUAGGGAAUUUUCGUCAAUGGGCGCAAGCCUGAACGAGCGAUGCCGCGUGAGUGAAGAAGGCCUUCGGGUCGUAAAGCUCUGUUGCGGGGGAAAAAAGGCAGCAUCAGGAAAUGGGUGCUGACUGAUGGUGCCCCGCCAGAAAGUCACGGCUAACUACGUGCCAGCAGCCGCGGUAAUACGUAGGUGGCGAGCGUUAUCCGGAAUGAUUGGGCGUAAAGGGUGCGCAGGCGGUCCUGCAAGUCUGGAGUGAAACGCAUGAGCUCAACUCAUGCAUGGCUUUGGAAACUGGAGGACUGGAGAGCAGGAGAGGGCGGUGGAACUCCAUGUGUAGCGGUAAAAUGCGUAGAUAUAUGGAAGAACACCAGUGGCGAAGGCGGCCGCCUGGCCUGUUGCUGACGCUGAGGCACGAAAGCGUGGGGAGCAAAUAGGAUUAGAUACCCUAGUAGUCCACGCCGUAAACG